UGCAGUGAUGGUGUAAUUUGCGUCCUACUCUGUGUGUGACGACGGUUGCCUGCCGUCACAUGUCACCACAGAAGCCUGACGAACCUUGACUCUGAGCA